GCCAGGUGUGGUGGCUCACGCCUGUAAUCCCAGCACUUUGGGAGGCUGAGGCAGGUGGAUCACCUGAGGUCAGGAGUUCGAGACCAGCCUGGCCAACAUGGUGAAACCCUGUCUCCA
ensembl:misc_RNA Metazoa_SRP Metazoan signal recognition particle RNA